GUAAAUCAUUUCUCCUCUCCCUUCCUCCAACCAGCUGGUUGGUGCCCAUGGUGAUGGCUGCAUUUCAGACGGGGUGGUUUCGGUUGGGUAUCUGAUUGGCUCCCUGGUUGCUAAGAAGAUGGUUGCCUUGGUGUUUCAGAUUUCAGGGCCAUAGUAAGCGCCAUGUGGGAGUGUGCGUGGGGAAGGAGGUCUGUGAAGAAAAUUCGCUUCGGUUUCUUCCUUACAAGAACUCCCUCCCUUCUCAAGGCCUGGACGGUGAAGUAUCUGGUGUGGGACGAUGGGUUAGGACACGGAAGUGAGGCGUCCAAAGGUU
rnacentral:lncRNA from 1 species